CCGGAUAUUACACGAAUUCGAAUUCGGAUAUGAUGUAAUUCAGUUUGAAUUCGAUUCGUUUACAGGCCUACGAACAUGGUCACUACACCAGCAACUAGGGCUUCGGAUAGCCCAAGGUGAAUUGAGAUACCCAUAUAGGUUGGGGGAGGUUCCAAGUCGACUUAUGGGAAGGUCGACUUUACCCAGGUCUACUUUUUCAGAGAUCGACUUUCCUAGAGAUCGAUUUUCAGAAGUCGCUCUGGAUAAAGUCAACCUCUAGAAAAGUCGAAUCCAGAAAGUCCAGUUGGAACCAGAUCUGAGCAGUUAGACAGUUACGACCCUAAUGAUCAAAUUUUACCCUAAUGAGCAAAAGGUCAGUCCCAUUCAUUUGGGCAGGUUGAAUUUCAGAGAGAAGUUUCAGCGAAGCAGAGUAAAAGAAACUGAAUAGUUCGAACUGAUUUUCUUGAGGAGUUUCCAGCUUGACGCUUGUUCAAACAUCGUCGAGCAAUGAUCGGGUUCCACCCUCAUCACAAAUAUAAAUAUGAUUUGGUAAUAACAUUCACUUUCAUCUUUAUUUGGUUCAAAUACAGACUCAACAACAUAAGUUAUCCAUCAAUUCUUUAUAAAACAAAAAUAUCUGAAUUUUUGAUAUUCUUCCAAAUUUAAACAGAUUAAAUUUAAAUAUAUUCUGUUAUUUUCUGUUUGUAUCAUUCAAAUUUAGACGUUGAUAAAAACAUGUUUGCGGCCAUAUACCCAAUUUCAAAUCUGCUCCUCAUAUGGCGGCCAUAUAUAAAAACCAAAAUUUCACAUGUUUCCAGUCAAUGUAGACGUUAAUAUUUACGAUAUUGAAAUCUGUUUAUGAAGUUUGUUGUCAUUUUCUAUUUUUAUCCUAAAAUUAUUUUUUUUACACACCGGCCCGUGACCCACCUCAUUUUCACCUUUGUUUUAGCCACAUAAAAAAUAGGUAAUAAAUAAAUAUCUAUCUUUUCUAUUUAUCAUAUCUUACAAUAUAUAUAUAUUCUCUUUCGACCCGACUUUAAAUUAUUCCUUACAAUGUCUUCAUCGUCAUCUACCGAAUCUUCAAUUGUAACCAGGUUUUCUUCAACAAACAAGGAAAAAGUGAGAUUCGAGGACUCUUCAACGUUUACUAUGUCGUCAUCUACCGAAUCUUCAUGUGCAACCAGGUUUUCUUCAACAAACGAGGAAAAAGUGAGAUUCGAGGACUCUUCAAUGUUUACUAUGUCGUCAUUUACCGAGUCAUCAAAGGAAACCAGAUUUUCUUCGUCGUCGAAAAGAAAAGAUAGGAUGGAAAAUCCUUUAAGGAAGGACUAGCCCUGUCAAUCGAACGAAUUCGAACCGGAUACCCCUAUAUCCGAAUUCGAAUUCGAUUAGUAUCCGGAUAAUCCGAAUUCGUCCGAUUAGUAUUCGAAUUUCAAAAUCCGUAUCCGAAUUCGAAUUCGAUUAAAAAUAUCCGAAUUCGGAUAUCCGAAUUCGAUUCGAAUAACAUUUAUAAA
rnacentral:lncRNA from 1 species